UACGUAGGAGGCAAGCGUUGUCCGGAAUCACUGGGCGUAAAGCGCGUGUAGGCGGGAAGCUAAGUCUGUUGUGAAAGCGCCUGGCUUAACCGGGCGAGGUCGAUGGAAACUAGCUACCUGGAGGCCGGUAGAGGGGGGUGGAAUUCCGGGUGUAGUGGUGAAAUGCGUGAGAUAUUGGGAGGAACACCAGUGGCGAAGGCGGCUCACUGGACCGGUACUGACGCUGAUGCGCGAAAGCGUGGGGAGCAAACGGGG
rnacentral:rRNA from 1 species